UACGAAGGGGGCUAGCGUUGUUCGGAAUCACUGGGCGUAAAGGGCGCGUAGGCGGCUUUAUAAGUCGGGGGUGAAAGCCUGUGGCUCAACCACAGAAUUGCCUUCGAUACUGUAGAGCUUGAGACCGGAAGAGGUAAGUGGAACUGCGAGUGUAGAGGUGAAAUUCGUAGAUAUUCGGAAGAACACCAGUGGCGAAGGCGACUCACUGGACAUGUAUUGACGCUGAGGUACGAAAGCGUGGGGAGCAAACAGG
rnacentral:rRNA from 1 species